UAUGCCAGUAUGUCUGUGUGUAUGCCAGUAUGUCUGCGUGUGUGUGUGUGUGUCAGUAUGUCUGUGUGUAUGCCAGUAUGUCUGUGUGUGUGUGUGUCAGUAUGUCUGUGUGUAUGCCAGUAUGUCUGUGUGUGUGUGUGUCAGUAUGUCUGUGUGUAUGCCAGUAUGUCUGUGUGUGUGUAUGUAGGUAUGUCUCUGUGUGUGUGUGUGUACGUGUGUGUCAGUAUGUCUGCCAGGAUAUAUUUGUGUGUCAGUGUAUGUGUGUGUCAGUAUGUAUCUGUGAAUGUUUUAAUGUCUGUCUGUGUGUAUGUGCCAGUCUGUCUGUGUGUAUGUCAGUAUGUCUGUGUGUGUGUGUCAGCAUGUCUUUGUGUGUCAGUAUGUCUGUGUGUGUAUGUAAGUAUGUGUGUGUAUGUGUGUGCCAGUCAGUAUGUCUGUCAGUGUAUGUGUCUGUGUGUGUAUGUAUGUAUGUCUGUGUGUGUGUGUGUGUGUGUCAGUAUGUCUGCCAGGAUAUAUUUGUAUGUCAGCGUAUGUGUGUGUCAGUAUAUAUCUGUGAAUGUUUAAUGUCUGUCUGUAUCAGCCAUUACGUCUGUCUGUGUAUAUGUCAGUAUGCCUGUGUGUGUGUGUGUGUGUAUAUAUGUCAGUAUGCCUGUGUGUGUGUGUCAAUGUGUCUGUCAGUGUAUGUGUCUGUGUGUUUUAGUAUAUCUGUC